rnacentral:rRNA from 1 species
AUGAAGGAAGCAAGCGGCGUUCGCAUGGUUACAGGCAACGGCGAAAACAGCUACGCCGCAAACUCCAGGCUCCAGGAGAAGGCCAUUUUGGAGACAAGGCCGGUGCUUCGCAAGGCCAUACAAGAGGUAUGCACGUCGCUCUCCGCCCGACGGAGCACCAUGGUCGUCGCUGACCUCGGCUGCUCAUCGGGUCCCAACACUCUAAGCUUCAUCUCCGAGGUAAUCGGUGCAGUCCACUCCUGCACUCGGAAAUCGGAAGAGGAACGGCGCGUUGUGGAGGUCCAGUUCUUCCUGAAUGACCUGCCGGGGAACGACUUCAACCUCGUCUUCCGGUCACUGGAGCAAUUUGAAGAUCUCGGCGGGAAAGAUACGCCGCCCUUCUAUGUGGCAGGGCUGCCCCGGUCAUACUACAGGAAGCUUUUCCCUUCCAGGAGCGUCCACUUCUUCCACUCGUCCUACUCCCUCAUGUGGCGCUCUAAGGUGCCGGAGGAGCUCUCAAGUUGCACUCACUUGAAUGAAGGCAACAUCUACAUUGGAAAAACUACUCCACCUAUGGUGAUUAAGCUAUUCCAAGAACAAUUCAAAAAGGACUUUGAGUUGUUCCUUACAUUGCGUUUCAAAGAGCUUGUCAGUGGAGGUCGAAUGUUGCUAACGUUUCUUGGCCGAAAGAAUGAAGAGAUGAUGACGCAUGGGGAGGUUGGCACCUUGUAUGAAUUGGUUGCUGAAUCUCUCCUGUCUUUGGUACUAAAGGGUCGUGUGGAGAAGGAGAAGUUGGAUUCAUUCAACGUGCCCUACUACACCCCAUCCGUGAAAGAGGUCCGAGAGUUGAUCAACAAGAGUAGGCUCUUCGACAUCGAGCAUGCCAGACUCUUUGAAUCCAACUGGGAUCCUCAGGAUGACUUGGACGGUGAUGUGAUUACUAGAUUAUGCUGGCAGCGGGGCAAAUGUCGCCAAUUGCAUAAGGGCGGUGAUGGAGCCGCUAAUCGUAGACCACUUUGGGGAGGACAUUAUUGA